AACGAGCGCUGGCGGCAGGCUUAACACAUGCAAGUCGAGCGCCCCGCAAGGGGUGCGGUAGACGUGGGAGUAACGCGUGGGAAUCUAGCCAUCUCUACGGCAUAACGUAUGGAAACGGGCUCAAAUACCGUAUACGUCCUCCGGAAGCAAGAUUUAUCGGGGAUGGAUGAGCCCGCGUUGGAUUAGCAAGUUGGUGGGGUAAAGCCCUACCAAGGAGACGAACGAUACCUGGUCUGAGAGGAUGAUCAGCAAAACGGAGAGUGAGACACGGCCAAACUCCUACGGGAGGCAGCAGUGGGGAAUAUUGGACAAUGGGCGAAAGCCUGAUGCAGCCAUGCCGCGUGAGUGAUGAAGGCCCUAGGGUCGUAAAGCUCUUUCAACGGUGAAGAUAAUGACGGUAACCGGAGAAGAAGCCCCGGCUAACUUCGUGCCAGCCGCCGCCGUAAUAC
rnacentral:rRNA from 1 species